AGCGGUGGCCCUGGGGAGGAAGAGACAAAAGAAGUUUGAUUAAACUGUCUUCACUCCCUUUUUCAUUUGGCUGCUGCUGGAUGAAAAUCAGUUAUUUACAGGAAUAGAAUGGUUCUGUACACUGUGGGCUGCAUAAAGUUUUUGAGUGAAUGAUGAAAAACACCAACUUUUGAAUGACAUUGUUUUCCUGUUUCCUGCAGUCUCUAAACAUAUCCUUGUUUAUCUCAAAGAUUAUUAAAUUAUUGAUCAAUUUAAGCUCAAUGGUCUUUGCUGUCUCCCUCUUAAAAUGGAUGAAUAGAUGUGAUUACCUGGCGUCCAGGAGAAUUGGAUCCAAAGGAGGGUACAUGGAUCUGACAACGUCGUCCACCCUGGGAGCAGGCAGGAUGGAGAUGCAGUGAGAGACCAGACCACUGUUGGAGAAAAUGUCAUAGAAUUAGGAUUAGGAUUCACAGCGCUGAUUGAAACACAACAUUGACACUGAUGGAGGUAAGUUCACGUCUAAAACUCUAAACUUCACGCCAUGUCACGAUGCUGCUGUUCAGACAUACGAGGCGUCUUCAAUCCAGUCCUCGUUGUCCAGGAUGGCCUCGAUGUGAGGGUUGGUGAUGACCACGUCGUCCAGCUCCAGCUCCGACAGUUCGCUCUGAGUCUCCAUGGCUCCGAUCAGAUCGACCGUCGGUCUGAGAAACAGGUUGAAGCAGAAGCGAGUGAAGCCUUGCUGUCUUCAGUUUGUAGAGAAAAACAUAAAUGGAAAUAAUCUGCAGAUCUCCUGCGCUCCAGCUUCACCUCUUUUCCUCGUGCUCACGCUCUUGGAUUUCUCCUCCUCUCUUGGAUUUUGCCUUCUUCGCUGGAUUUUUUUGUGCAAAAAGUCUUCAAGCAACAAAAUAUCUGUGUGCAAAUCUGAGCACAAGCACCUGAGUGCAAGCACCGGGAUUCGAUUCAAGCAUAACAAAAUCUGAACGGGAAUUCAGUAAGUCCUGCUCUCAAUAACACUCUUGAAUAAAGACAGGAAGACAACCCAUAAAGAAGAAUGUAUUCAUAUCAACUUUACUGAUUGUUUUUGUUUACUGCACUUAUUUGCUUUUUUCUUUAUGAUGCAUAGAAUAAUCAAUCAUGCACCUCUGAGUUGAUUAUAUGUCACCAUUAAUAUUAAAAUUGCAAAUUGUAAAAGAAUAGUGUGAAUCGAUAGUAUAUGAAGGCACAAAUUUGGUCUUUCUACUGAACCUGUUCGUACAGUGUCAUACAGCAGCAAUGCAGAGAAACCACGUUGCAGAGUUGACAGUGAAAUACAAACACUAAACUCAAUAGAAGUUGUAAAGUGCUGUUAACUGACUUGGUGUCGAAGUGGUGCAGCAGGUCGUGAGGGUGGCAGUAGCGGUGUCUGCACACCACCACCAGGGCAAUGAAGGAGGCCAGGAAAAUGGUGGUCAACACCCCAAUGGCUACGAUCACCACCGUCUCCAUGGCGACUCCGGCUCCCACCACCAGCAACUCGUCAAGAGGAAGAAAAAAAAAAAGUCCAAUCAGGGCCGGAUGAUUCUCCGAGCUCGAUCACGGGCGGGUGCUCAUCUGUCAAGGGGAGAGAAGCGUUUGGUCUCUAGUCUGAUUGGGGUGACAUCAAACCCGCAGAAGAGCGACAAAUAUCGACACCCUUGAGGAUAUAACAGCGAGAGAUUUCCCUGAUUUCCAUUUUUGUCGAGACAUAAACCACCUCCAGGCCCUUGUAGGGAAGAAUCCUAUCAGCAGUGUUUUGUCUGAUUCUAAAUAUGGCACACCUACACUGCACACAUAAAGUUGAUCUUUAUCUGAGAACAUUAAACGCUGAACUGCACUUGGCCUUUGUUUGCACUUUGUAUUGAGAACGGAUUCAGAGACGUUUUCCUACAUUCUGCAGCCCCAGUCAACAACGACAUCAAUUCUAUUCAACUAUAACAAGCAGCCUCAAAGUCAACAGCUUGAAAAACUGCGUCUCAACCCUCAGUCUUAACCUCUACAAAGAAGGAAACUAGGAGAAUAAAACCCCACGUGAACUUUGACCUCUUACCCUCUGAUGUUUUCAGUGCAGGCUGAACUAUUUUUGGAUUAUCUGCAGGUUGAUUUCUCUGACAUGCUCCCACAUCGAGCGUCUCUCUGAAAAGUGUGAAGUAAACCUGCUCUCUUCCCAGUCUGGUCACUCAUUAACUCGCCCUGCCCCGCCUGAUCGCUGGUGAGUGAAUUCUCCAGAGGGAAGCUGUCAUUGGACACUAAGACAGCUUUCUGUGCAGAGAGUAAUUGAUUUGUAAUUAGGCUGUAGCUUUUUCAAAGCAGGGGUUCUGCUUCCUGCGCACAAAUGACCACACGAGAGCUGCACUUUCAACCUUACAACAUUUUAAACCUGCAUUUUGUUUUAGCCCCGGAUGAUUAUGUGAGAUUCAGCCGUGGAAUGCUGUAAUUCUUUAAUCAGAUUAAUUUGUGUUACACUCGCCGUAUCGUACAGGGCUUUCUCCCGACUCUCUCAUGCCUAGGAGCUUUUUUCUGGCUCCUUUUCUUUUCACGGGCUGCUGCUCUCCUAAAGCCUGCAAACCCCACUGCUAUAAUGGAAACAUGUUAAAGUAAACUGUGUGACUUUUAAAAGUGUUUCAGGGGAAAGAAAAACUCCAGAGGGCCGCUCACUUUUCAGCACUCUAAAUAUCCUUCAGUCUGUUAAAAGCCAUCAGUGGAAACAGCAGAGCUUUUUUUGUCCACAUAAAAAUGUAUCAAAUCCUGUAAAAAAACUAACUUUUGGUGUCGUUUAAGGAGGACUAACUUUUUCCACCAAACCCUAACUAAGACUAACGUUGAUUUUCUGACAGUAUUUAUUACAACUUAUACCGAAGUAAAUGAUCUGUUUCCAGCACUGCAAAUAACAAAUACUGCAAAGAGUAUUCUACAGAUAAACCACAACAAUGUAAAACAAUCAGGGAAAAUAAAUUCGAAGUAACACUGUACAUAAUCCCCCUGUUGAACUUUAUUUGUCCCUGUAAGAGCAACUUUCCUGUCAAAAGUGGCCCCCAACCAGCUUAACAGAAAUAUGUAUCAUUCCACCACUGUAUCCAAACAUAGAAUAAAGGAGCAUAGAGCAUAUAGGAGCACAAACACAUUACAAACUAUUAUCAAUAUGUCGAGAAGAUGGACAACAGAGUCCAUUAUACAAAAGGUCUGGGUUUUGUUCCUAUGCCGGUAAACAUUUUUUACCAAAUGUAUUUGUUUCACCAUAUUCAUGUUAUUUUUCCUAAGAUUAAGGAUCAUUAACAAACACACAAAGACCAUUCUUCAUGAAUAACAAUAAAACUUUUUCACUAAAGGAUACACUUUUUGAGUCUAUUUAAACAACUUUAUACAGAAAAUAUGAAUUAUAGUCACACCUAAGAAACACUUUAAAAGGUUGUUUAUGAAAGGUAGAAAACUCUAAACUUGUUUUGCAGCCACUCACCUCAACAUUUUGUGCUUUUCGUCGGUUUCCUCUCGGGACGCACACAAUCCUAAACUCUCCUCUCUGCCAUCGGGAGCGCGGAGACGGCACCGAAAUCUCCAAAACCUGGGGCGUCGCGAACGCGCACAGAGGCAGGGCCCCAUUAGGUGCGUGAACUUUUUCAGGCUCGAUAAACUUUAACAGCGCGCGUGGGUGGCAGCCUCGGCCACGCGGGUGGUACUUGUGUGUGUGCGUAAAGCGCGCUCCCGCUGUCACGUAAGUAAAGCUGCAUUGCUCCAAACGAGGAACUCAAGUGGAUGCGUGUAACACGUGGUGGCGUCAGCAUCGUGAAGCUGGAGGCAAACCACUGCAACACCAUCUGUAUCCAAGAGGCAGAAGAAGCAGAGACAACUCAGAGACAUGGGUGAUGAGGCCUAUAAGAAAAAGGUAAUCGGCAACAAGAGGACAAAUGGCCACCACAGACGUUUAAAGAAUCGGUCACCAGUUACUUCGAUUGUAUUGGAUUUGCCUGCAACGCUUUUUACCCCAGAAAGUGUUUCGUGGACUCAAACACUUCACCCACCCCUCCAUCGGC